CCUACGGGAGGCAGCAGUGAGGAAUAUUGGUCAAUGGUCGGGAGACUGAACCAGCCAAGCCGCGUGAGGGAUGAAGGUACAGAGUAUCGUAAACCUCUUUUGUCAGGGAACAAAGGCGGGGACGUGUCCCCGGCUGAGUGUACCUGAAGAAAAAGCAUCGGCUAACUACGUGCCAGCAGCCGCGGUAAUACGGAGGAUGCGAGCGUUAUCCGGAUUUAUUGGGUUUAAAGGGUGCGCAGGCGGUCUGUUAAGUCAGCGGUCAAAGCCCGGGGCUCAACCCCGGCCCGCCGUUGAAACUGGCAGUCUCGAGUUGGAGAGAAGUAGGCGGAAUGCGCGGUGUAGCGGUGAAAUGCAUAGAUAUCGCGCAGAACUCCGAUUGCGAAGGCAGCAUGCCGGCUCCACACUGACGCUGAGGCACGAAAGCGUGGGUAUCGAACAGGAUUAGAUACCCCAGUAGUC
rnacentral:rRNA from 1 species